CUUACGGGGGGGUUCUUUUGGGAACCGGAACACAGGUGCUGCAUGGCUGUCGUCAGCUCGUGUCGUGAGAUGUUGGGUUAAGUCCCGCAACGAGCGCAACCCUUAUCCUUAGUUUCCAGCGGGUAAUGCCGGGGACUCUAAGGAGACCGCCGGUGAUAAACCGGAAGAAGGGGGGGGAGACGUCAAAUCUCAUGGCCCUUUAGGCCCGGGGUUCCCCCCUUCUAAAAUUGGGGGGUCAAAGGGGUGGGAAACCCCGAGGAGGAACCAACCCCAAAAAACCGCUCUCCUUUCGGAAUAGAGUCUGCAACCCCGCUCCAUUAAGAAGGAAUUCGUUUUAAUC
rnacentral:rRNA from 1 species